rnacentral:rRNA from 1 species
GGGAUGAGCUUGCGUCCGAUUAGAUAGUUGGUGGGGUAAAGGCCUACCAAGUCGACGAUCGGUAGCCGGACUGAGAGGUUGAACGGCCACAUUGGAACUGAGAUACGGUCCAGACUCUACGGGAGGCAGCAGUGGGGAAUAUUGGGCAAUGGGGGAAACCCUGACCCAGCAACGCCGCGUGAGGGAAGAAGGUUUUCGGAUCGUAAACCUCUGUCCUUGGUGAAGAGGAAGAGGCGGUAGCCAAGGAGGAAGCCCCGGCUAACUACGUGCCAGCAGCCGCGGUAAUACGAGGGGUGCAAGCGUUGUUCGGAAUCACUGGGCGUAAAGGGAGCGCAGGCGGAGAUGCAAGCGGACUGUACAAUACCGGGGCCCAACCCCGGACCUGCAGACUGGACUGUUUCUCUUGGAUAGCUCAGGGGCUGGCGGAAUUCCUGGUGUAGCGGUGGAAUGCGUAGAGAUCAGGAAGAACACCGAUGGCGAAGGCAGCCUGCUGGGGACUUAUCGACGCUGAGGCUCGAAAGUGCGGGUAGCAAACAGGAUUAGAUACCCUGGUAGUCC